rnacentral:rRNA from 1 species
GACGAACGCUGGCGGCGUGCUUAACACAUGCAAGUCGAACGAUGAACUUGGAGCUUGCUCUGGGGGAUUAGUGGCGAACGGGUGAGUAACACGUGAGUAACCUGCCCUGGACUCUGGGAUAACUUCGAGAAAUCGGAGCUAAUACCGGAUAGGACCUUGCACCGCAUGGUGGGGGGUGGAAAGUCUUUCGGUUUGGGAUGGACUCGCGGCCUAUCAGCUUGUUGGUGAGGUAAUGGCUCACCAAGGCGUCGACGGGUAGUCGGCCUGAGAGGGUGACCGGCCACACUGGGACUGAGACACGGCCCAGACUCCUACGGGAGGCAGCAGUGGGGAAUAUUGCACAAUGGGCGCAAGCCUGAUGCAGCAACGCCGCGUGCGGGAUGACGGCCUUCGGGUUGUAAACCGCUUUUAGUAGGGAAGAAGCCUUCGGGUGACGGUACCUGCAGAAAAAGGACCGGCUAACUACGUGCCAGCCGCCGCCGUAAGAC